rnacentral:rRNA from 1 species
AAGGUUACACUGUCUCCUUUCUCUAAUCAGUAAAACUAAUCUUCCCGUGAAGAAGCGGGGAUCCUUAUAUAAGACGAGAAGACCCUAUGGAGCUUUAAACGAAAUAACAUCUACCAACUCACCUAACAAUUUCAGAAAAUUAAUACUAAACUUGGUAUAAUGGUUACUAGUUUUAGGUUGGGGUGACCGCGGAGCAAAAACCAACCUCCGCAUUGAAUGGACUUACACUCCUAAACAAAAAGCCACAACUUUAUGUAUCAACACAUUGACAUCCAUUGACCCAUUAACUUGAUCAACGAACCAAGUUACCCUAGGGAUAACAGCGCAAUCCAUUUCAAGAGCUCCUAUCGACAAAUGG